rnacentral:rRNA from 1 species
UACGUAGGGUGCAAGCGUUAAUCGGAAUUACUGGGCGUAAAGCGUGCGCAGGCGGUUUUGUAAGUCUGUUGUGAAAUCCCCGGGCUUAACCUGGGAAUGGCAAUGGAGACUGCAAGGCUAGAGUUUGGCAGAGGGGGGUAGAAUUCCACGUGUAGCAGUGAAAUGCGUAGAGAUGUGGAGGAACACCGAUGGCGAAGGCAGCCCCCUGGGUCAAGACUGACGCUCAUGCACGAAAGCGUGGGGAGCGAACAGG